rnacentral:rRNA from 1 species
AGAGAUCAUGGCUCAGAAUCAACGCUGGCGGCGUGCCUCAGACAUGCAAGUCGAACGAUUAAAGCUCCCUUCGGGGAGUGUAUAGAGUGGCGCACGGGUGAGUAACACGUAAGUAAUCUACCUUUGAGUGGGGAAUAACAUCGGGAAACCGAUGCUAAUACCGCAUAAUGCAGCGGCACCGCAAGGUGACAGUUGUUAAAGGAGCAAUUCGCUUGAAGAGGAGCUUGCGGCAGAUUAGCUAGUUGGUAAGGUAAUGGCUUACCAAGGCUACGAUCUGUAUCCGGUCUAAGAGGACGGUCGGACACACUGACACUGAAUAACGGGUCAGACUCCUACGAGAGGCAGCAGUCGGGAAUUUUGGGCAAUGGGCGAAAGCCUGACCCAGCAACGCCGCGUGAAGGAUGAAGUAUUUCGGUAUGUAAACUUCGAAAGAAUGGGAAGAAUAAAUGACGGUACCAUUUAUAAGGUCCGGCUAACUACGUGCCAGCAGCCGCGGUAAUACGUAGGGACCAAGCGUUGUUCGGAUUUACUGGGCGUAAAGGGCGCGUAGGCGGCGUGGUAAGUCACUUGUGAAAUCUCUGAGCUUAACUCAGAACGGUCAAGUGAUACUGCUGUGCUAGAGUGCAGAAGGGGCAAUCGGAAUUCUUGGUGUAGCGGUGAAAUGCGUAGAUAUCAAGAGGAACACCUGAGGUGAAGACGGGUUGCUGGGCUGACACUGACGCUGAGGCGCGAAAGCCAGGGGAGCAAACCGGAUUAGAUACCCCGGUAGUCCUGGCCCUAAACGAUGAAUACUUGGUGUCUGGAGUUUUAAUGCUCCGGGUGCCCUCCCUAAAGUUUUAAGUAUUCCGCCUGGGGAGGUCGCACGCAAGUGUGAAACUCCAAAGAAAUGACGGGG